rnacentral:rRNA from 1 species
UAGGGAGUCUUCGACAAUGGGGGAAACCCUGAUCGAGCAACACCGCGUGAGUGAUGAAGGUCUUCGGAUUGUAAAACUCUGUUGUAAGGGAUAAAUGGCUUGGGUAGGUAAUGACCUGAGUUUGAUAGUACCUUACUAGAAAGCAACGACUAACUUCGUGCCAGCAGUCGCGGUAAUACGAAGGUUGCAAGCGUUAUCCGGAAUUAUUGGGCGUAAAGAGUGAGCAGGCGGCUUAUUAAGUUUGAAGUCAAAUCGUUGGGCUCAACCCAAUCUCGCUUCAAAAACUGAUAGGCUAGAGUAUGUGAGAGGUAAGUAGAACUCCAUGUGUAGCGGUGAAAUGCGUAGAUAUAUGGAAGAAUACCAGUGGCGAAGGCGGCUUACCAGCACAAUACUGACGCUC